GUGUCAGCAGCCGCGGUAAUACAGAGGGUGCAAGCGUUAAUCGGAAUUACUGGGCGUAAAGCGUGCGUAGACGGUUAUCUAAGUCGGGUGUGAAAGCCCCGGGCUCAACCUGGGAAUUGCAUUCGAUACUGGAUAGCUAGAGUUCGGCAGAGGGAAGUGGAAUUUCCGGUGUAGCGGUGAAAUGCGUAGAUAUCGGAAGGAACAUCAGUGGCGAAAGCGACUUCCUGGACCAGAACUGACGUUCAGGCACGAAAGCGUGGGGAGCAAACAGGAUUAGAAACCCGCGUAGUCC
rnacentral:rRNA from 1 species